rnacentral:rRNA from 1 species
AUGGGCGCGAAGAUGCGUCAAGAUAAAACCAACAAGAAAAAGGGAGGUACGCAAAGCAUACCACAUGGUGAAAGGCAGACACUGAUAGAUCGUCGUAAUGCUAGCUUUGCAGCUAGGGUGAAGACUCCACUUGUAAGGUCCUUCGCUAUGCCAGGAACGAGCUCAAUGGGACAACCUAGCGGAUUUGAUGGUCACGGUGCAUCAACCUCAACUAGCACGCCAGACUUCGCAAUCAAAACAGAAGACGACAUGGACGCGUACCUUAGUCGUCUCAUGGAUGAUAAUGCCAACCCUGAAGACCUCUUUGACGAUGAGUAUUACCUAUUUGCUGGUGAAGGCUCGGACAUUGAUGACGCAGAACAUGAUGAAGGAGACUUGAGUCAAGAUACCUCUAUGGACAUUGAUCCUCUUGACUAUGUCUACUCAAACCUCCCAGAUAGCACACACAUCCUUAAGCACGCCGUGAACUGCGAGCACUGCAAGGCCAAGAAGUUUGAGUCUGAAUCCCCUAGAUUUUGCUCUCGCAAUGGGAAGAUCGAGCUGAAGGAACUAGAGCCCAACCCAGAGCUAAUGAGGCUUUGGGCCAGCUCGGAUGCAGACUCUAGGCAUUUUUGGGAAAACAUACGGUUCUUCAAUGGCCACUUCUCCUUCACAACCCUCGGAGUCAGCCUUGAUGAAAACUACACAAACAUGAAAUCAGGGGUGUACACUUUCCGGUCGCACGACACCAUCUACCACAACGUUCAUUCCUUCGGCCCAAGCUCCCGUCCAGAGCAUCUCCAGUUGUACUUCCACGACGACGACCCUGAUCUACCGAUCGCAAGGCUGCCACCAAGCAAUUGGACCAAAAUGGCAUUAGGAAGUUAG